GAUGAACGCUGGCGGCGCGCCUAACACAUGCAAGUCGAACGGCACCCCUCCUCGGAGGGCAGCGAGUGGCGAACGGCUGAGUAACACGUGGAGAACCUGCCCCCUCCCCCGGGAUAGCCGCCCGAAAGGACGGGUAAUACCGGAUACCCCGGGGUGCCGCAUGGCACCCCGGCUAAAGCCCCGACGGGAGGGGAUGGCUCCGCGGCCCAUCAGGUAGACGGCGGGGUGACGGCCCACCGUGCCGACAACGGGUAGCCGGGUUGAGAGACCGACCGGCCAGAUUGGGACUGAGACACGGCCCAGACUCCUACGGGAGGCAGCAGUGGGGAAUCUUGCGCAAUGGCGGGAACCCUGACGCAGCGACGCCGCGUGCGGGACGGAGGCCUUCGGGUCGUAAACCGCUUUCAGCAGGGAAGAGUCAAGACUGUACCUGCAGAAGAAGCCCCGGCUAACUACGUG
rnacentral:rRNA from 1 species